AGCGAACGCUGGCGGCAGGCCUAACACAUGCAAGUCGAACGAAGUCUUCGGACUUAGUGGCGGACGGGUGAGUAACACGUGGGAACGUGCCUUUAGGUUCGGAAUAACUCAGGGAAACUUGUGCUAAUACCGAAUGUGCCCUUCGGGGGAAAGAUUUAUCGCCUUUAGAGCGGCCCGCGUCUGAUUAGCUAGUUGGUGAGGUAAAGGCUUACCAAGGCGACGAUCAGUAGCUGGUCUGAGAGGAUGAUCAGCCACAUUGGGACUGAGACAUGGCCCAAACUCCUACGGGAGGCAGCAGUGGGGAAUCUUGCGCAAUGGGCGAAAGCCUGACGCAGCCAUGCCGCGUGAAUGAUGAAGGUCUUAGGAUUGUAAAAUUCUUUCACCGGGGACGAUAAUGACGGUACCCGGAGAAGAAGCCCCGGCUAACUUCGUGCCAGCCGCCGCCGUAA
rnacentral:rRNA from 1 species